UUGCCUCCCGUCAGAAGAGCCGCGUCGCGCCCGGAAGGAAGACCGAAGACGAGAGGUGGCGAGUCAAACAGUGGCAGGACCCAGAAACCCGCCUGCCCUGUUCCCGCACGGUUCCUUCCCUAGAGCCCAGGGACUGUAACUCCGUCUGUCUUGGCCUUGUUUUGUGAGACGAGGCCAAGGAGGAGUUGGGUAGUAGUCUGUCGUGUUGUACUGAUUGGACAUAGUAUUAAGAUCUGUGGAACGUUUGAGAGACUGAUGCUAGGGUAUACACCCAGCAGUGGCACUCACUGGACCUUUCCACACUCCAGUUUGCCUCAGUUGUCUGCUGCUUUGGAGUCAUGGUAAAGAUGAAAUUUUAUGUGUGUGUUUAUAGUUUGUAUUGUAUGCAUUUUGUGUGUGUGUGUGUGUAUAUGAUUACUUUUGAUGACCAAAGCAACAUUUAGGCAUUAUUAUUUCUUAUUCUCAAAAUGUAGAAGUAGUGUCUGAAAAGAAUAUAGUUAAUAUUUUAAAAUAGAGUUUUAAUAAACAUCCUAACUGGACUUGUCACUCAGCCCUUCCUACCCUGAUUAAAAGGAGCAUUCUAUAGCUUGCUUUCCAUCAUGAAAGAUUUUUCCUAUUUGUAGUUAUGUCUUUAAAUUUGAAAAUAAGAGAAGUAAAAUCAAGAGACUAAAAGUAGACAGUAAAACCCUUCUCGAAGUGACUGCAUGUGUUUUUAGCCCUCAGUAAAAGGCAUCAUUUGUGGACUGUAUCCACAUCCUCACAAAGCUCUCACUUGGAUUCAUGCUCUGGAAAUCCGAUUUUGAUGGUAAGACUGGCCUCCACCAGAUCCCAUGUAGAUCCCAGCCCGUGAUUAUAUCAUCCAAAGUUAAAACAGAAAGUUAACUCUUAGCUCUGCCAUGCCAAAUUCAGAUAUUUUGCUGUGCCUCAUAGAAUACAUUCUGAGCUUCUCUGAAUAACCAACCAACUAUAAAGGUGCCACACAUUUGUCUGUACUAUUAUUAAACUGACUUCUUCCAAAUUGUUUAUUGAGGCAGCAAGAUUCUUGUGUUAUACUUCAUGCAGAGUUUUUUCCCCCUAAAAAUUGCUUCCUUAUAACACUGCAUUCAUAUUUACAGUUAAUCCUCACCAAAGGGUUGAUUUUCACCAUUACCUGUUAAGAGUCUUUUACUACACAGGUUUUUCAUUCAGCAUGAACAAGAGUAAUAGAGACAUCAAAAACCUUUGUUUUCUUCUUCCAUAUUCAAAACGUGUGAAGAUUUCUGUUGGGAGGAAACGCCAAGUACGAGAGUGUGUGCCUGGAACAUUCUCCACUGGAGUUCCUUAUACUUAAAUUGGUUGAAGGGGGUUUGUAUUGUAAUGAAUGCCCUAAUGUAAUAUAUGUUGAAACAAUUCACAUAAUUGAAAUGGAGUAAAGUAAGCUGAUGACACCUUAUUUUAUGCA